GUUUGAAGUAAAUCUAGGGUUUUCUGCAUCACUUUAGACAAAUAAAGAAAAUUCAUCUUUCUCCUUUGUCGUUUCAAUAAACGCUUUCUCUGUUUGUAAUCUUCUUCUCCAAAGGAAGCUAUACAGUUUCACUUCUACGAAACCUUUUCGAUUUACCAAAUCAAUUACUCCCCUUCAGCCUCUACAGAUACCCAUAUUUACUCAAACCAUCAUAAUGAUUCCCAUUCAUAACACCACCCAAUAAUCUCAUCAUAUAGGAGAAAUUAUUACAAAUAAAAAACUUAUCGAUUUCUCUCAAAAGCGUAACUUAUACAAUCUCAUUGAUUAUGUCUCUCUUUGCUUCUCUGUUAGAUCAAAACAACGACCGCCAGUCAACAUUCGACUCUUUCUUACUCGGUUGAUAUCCUCAGUUUAUUGUUGGUUGCCUUCUCCACCUCUGGGAUUCCACAACAUCAACCAAAAGGAUGAUUUCAUGGUUAUCACACUCUUCUUACUCGGUGAAAAGAAUGCACUCAUCCAUGGCUUCGUCCCAGCUUCUCGUGCCAAUCACUUCCGUGCAUUUUUAAGAACAGGUGCCAUAGUAAGAUUGGGUCGUUUUCAGGUCGCAAGGUGCACUAACAUGUACAAGAUUACGAACCAUCCAUUCGUCAUACGUAUUAUCCCAGUUCAUUUACAUCAUAUUUAAGUUCAGGGUUUAUUUUUAAAUAUUCUGAUGCUGUUGGACAAAUAUGAUAUUUGCAUGGGUUAGAUAACUCACCAACCCUGCAGUCAGGUCCCUUAUUCUGAUCCGUCUCCUAAUUGAUCGUGGUGUGGCGGCCUUCUUGAAUUUGACGGGAACGCUGCAUCUAUGUUUAGGUCUAUCUUGAACUCCCAGGUAACAGACACUCUGUAAUGCUGGUCACCACAACCAAACCACAGCUGCUUGGAGGCUACGUUCGUCGAGGCUCGACGGCAGCCACCAACUAUUACUUCGAUGCAAACAUUACCCCAUUGAAGAAUUCAUAAAAAGUUUGGGAGUUGCAAAAGAUUAACAUUUUACAUGUAUUCAGACAAGCGAGCCCAUUCAAAACACAAAUCUAGGAGAUGACAUUGAAGCUGGACGCCUCCCACCUCAUUCUAAUGAUUAAACUAAUGAGGAGUAUGCAAAAAUAAAGACAACAUUUCCAUUAGUUGUUUCAUAACAAAGCUUUAUUAUUGAUAUGCUAUAUUUAGUUAAUGGGUUUUGUUUUAAAGUUUUAAAAAAUCUUUCUACGAGAACAGGAAAAUA